rnacentral:rRNA from 1 species
UACGGAGGGGGCAAGCGUUGUUCGGAUUUACUGGGCGUAAAGGGUGCGUAGGCGGCUGUGCAAGUCUGGUGUGAAAUCUUCACCGCUCAACGGGAAGAGGUCACUGGAAACUGCAUAGCUUGAGUGUGGUAGAGGCAAGCGGAAUUCCUGGUGUAGCGGUGGAAUGUGUAGAUAUCAGGAAGAACACCCGUGGCGAAGGCGGCUUGCUGGGCCACUACUGACGCUGAGGCACGAAAGCGUGGGGAGCGAACGGGAUUAGAUACCCC